UUCCUGGGACCUGGGACCUGGGAGUGGACUAGAAAGACAUGGGACCAGGUCAUGAGCUCAGCUCUUACUUUGAGAGCACCUAGCAACCGUCGUUUGGAACCUUUUAAGCAGGGGACUUUACACUCUACUUCACUCUAAAGAGUCCCUGUUGCAUGGAGCCUGAGUAUGGGAGGCAAGAAUGUCUGUGGAGCGGUCAGACUGGGGGCUGGAGACAGAGCAGAAAUAAAGUGGGAAACAGAGACUCCAAAGGAUAAAGACUAUCCCAAUCCCCAUGGAUAACUAGACAUUGUUUUAUGAGCUAUGGACUCCAUCUUGCUUUCAUGAGGAAAACUGCAAAAACAGUGAUAAAUCUGACUUUCAGUCUGAUGACCUGGCAUACUGAAGCAAGUGCUGUGCCAAACCCAACUCAGAGACACUGGCUUUGAACUCAUUCAACAAACUCAUUCUCAAGCUCCUCUCUGUUGGACUUUGCUCCCUUCAGCUCUCCUAUCAGGGUGAGUUGGCAUCUGACUCCUUUCCUAUUGUGUGGUUGAUUUCAAAGAAAAUGGCCCCCAAAGGGAAUAGAACUAUUAGGAGAUAUGGUCUUGUUGGAAGAAGUGUGUCAUUGUGGGCAUGGGCUUGGAAGUCUCAUCUAUGCUCAAGCCACACCUAGUGAGACAAACCACUUCUUGCUGCCUACAAGAUGUAGAACUCUCAGGUGCUUCUCCAGCACCAUGCCUGCCUACAUGCCUCCAUGUCCCACCAUGGCAAUAAUGCCCUACAUGCCUCCAUAGUCCCACUGAACUAUGAACUGUAAGAGAGUCAUCUCAAUUAAAUGGUCUUCCUUUGUAAGAGUUGCCAUGGUCAUGGUGCCUCUUCACAACAAUCAGAAACCUAAGACAGAAGUUGGUACUACAGACUGAUAUAAUGCUGUGAUAGGCCUGACCAUGUUUUUGUUUGGGAACUGUGGAUUAGAAAAGCAAUUGAAUACUUUAGGUGCUGAUUAAUGGGCCAUACUAGUAGGAGCAUUGAUGACAGUAGGGCUAAGAGUUAUUUGAACUGUUGAGGCCUAUGUCAAGAGGUUUCAGAGGGGAAGAAUAUUUGUAUGUGGCCUAGAGAUUAUUCUUAUGAUAUUUUGGUGAACAAUGUGGCUGCUUUUUGCCCUUGCCCAAAGAAUCUUCCUGAGGCUGAGUGGAGAGUUUUGUUUUAAUUUCGUUCACAGAAGAAAUCUCAAAACAAUCCAGUACAGACUCUGUAAUGUGGCUAUUGGUGUGGGAGAAUUGUCUGUAUUCUAUCAAUUACAUUUUAAAUAAAUGCUGAUUGGCCAAUAGCCAGACAGGAAAUAUAGGUUGGAAAACCAGACAGGAAGUAGAAGUGGGGCAAUGAGAACAGGAGUAUUCUGGGAAGAAGGAAGCUCUCUCACACUCCUAUCCAGAUCACGGAAAAAGCAAGAUGUGAUCUGCCUCGCUGAAAAAGGUACCAAGUCAUUUGGCUAACAUACUCUAGAAUAAUGGGCUAAUGUAAGUUAUUAGAACUAAUACAAAACCUGAGAUAAUGGGCCAAUCAGUUUAUAAUUAAUGCAGACUUUCUGUGUGAUUAUUUCGAGGCUAAGCUAUGUGGGCAGUCGGGGUGACAAGCAGGCCCUCAUGCUACAGAAUGGCACCCAAGGGCAGAAACCCCAAGAAGCAGGCCCUCAUGCUACAAGCUAUUAGUGUUAACUCUAAUAAAGAUUUAUAAUGAAAAGGAGCAAGCUGAGCAGAGUAAAUUGAAAAUGGAGAACCAGGAAGUAGAAUGGAGCUAAAUUCUUUGUUCAAAGAGAUAUACAGAUUAAGAAAUUGAGUAAAAGGAGUUGUAACCUCAGGGCAUGCUUCCCAACUUGUGGAAAGGAAUUAGAGAAAAGUUUAGACCUGGGUAUGGCAGUGAAGACCUAUAAUUCUAGCACUCUAGAGGCAAAAACUGAUGAAUCUCUGAAUUUGGGGCUAGCCUGGUCUAUAGGGCAGGUUCCAGAACAACCAAGCUUAGGCAGUAAAUGUAACCAUGGAAAACAGAAAGAUGGUGAAUAUGUAAUUGAAUAAAAAGGCCAUGUUUCAGACCCAACAAGUUACAGAACUUGGCAGCUUCAGUUACAUGGUUCUGGCUUUAGAGUUAAGAAAGAGGAAAUGACUUAUGGAAUUUGCCUCUAUGACCAAAGAAAGCCACUGAGGCCAGGAAUGUGUCAAGGGUGUCCCUGCAUGGAGGCCUAGAGAGGCCAUUGUGUGAAACUUUAAAGGAGAAGCCUGAAUUGCCUUGGAGAUCCCAAGAUGCUAAAGAUGCCAGAGUCGUGGGAUACCUGACAAUAAGAGCUGCUAACAGGGAGUGGAAUCAACCCAAGAGAAAGAAGUGUACUGUAGUCAACAAAACGGAAAGGGGUUGGGAAUCUGAAGAGUGUUUUGACAGCACACAUGAAAAUGUAGGGUUUGGAGUUUGCCCAGCUGGUUUUCAGUCUUGUUUUGGUCCAGUAUUUCCUCACUAUGUCCCCUUUCCUUCCUUUAGUAUUGAUAAUGUAUAUCCUUUGCCACUAUAUGUUGGAAGUAUGUGAUCUGCUUUUUGAUUUUGAUUUUACAGAAGAUUACAAUUAAGAGAUUGCAUGAAUCUCAGAAGAGACUUUGAACCUUAGACUUUCAAAUAAGUUUGAGACUGUUAUAUGAGACCAUGGGACUUUUGAAGUUGGGCUGAAUGUAGCUUUGCAUUAUGAUACGGCUAUAAGCCUUUGAGGACCAGAAAAGUGGAAUGUGAUGAUUUGAAAGAAAAUAAACCCCAAAGGGAGUGGCACUAUUAGGAGGUGUGGCCUUGUUGGAGUAAGUGCAAUCUUGAUAGAUAGAGAAAGUAUGUGACUGUGGAGGCAGGCUUUGAGGUCUCAUAUGUGAUCAAGCCAUGCCCAAUGAGAAGGGCCACUUCUAUUGCCUGCAAGUCAAGAUGUAGGGCACUUGGCUACUUCUCCAGCACUAUGUCUGCCUGCACACGUCGUAUCAUGAUGAUAAUGGACUAAACCUCUGAAAAUGCAAUCCACCCUAAUUCAAUGUUUUCCCUUUACAAGAGUUGCUGUGGUCACAGUGUCUCCUCACAGCAGUAAAACACCCUAACUAAUACAGAAUAUUUUCACAUCCGUAUAUCUUCCUAUGGGUUUAUGGACAUUUGCUGUUUUCCAACACUCUGGGCAGGCUGUAAAGGUUUCAGAUCUCUCCAGCCUUCCCAACUUUAAGAUACCUACUAUCCACUAUGUUAAGAAUACUCAUUGCUGGGUGGUGGUGGUGCUUGACUUUAAUUCUUCAGCAUUCCAGAGGUAGAGGUAGGUGAAUCUCUGAGUUCAAGGCCAGCUUGGUCUACAGAGCAUGUUCCAGGACACCCAGGGCUAUCUUGACCCCCUCACCAUGGGUACUUGUCUUCCUGGAAGACAUAUCGCAGUUCAUUAAGGACUCUCAAUAUGAACAAAAUAUGCAGAAGUGUUAGGCGCGCUUAUCAUUGCACAAAACAGAAAGAAAAGGACUAGUGUGAGGCUUUUGUUCUUCUCACAGCUUUAGGAGCAAGGGAGAAGAGGCGUCCCACACACAUGCGUGCCCUAAGAAUCAGCCGCGUUCUGAAAGAAAACAAAGCACAGAGUCAAAACUGAAGAACAGAUAGGAUAAAAUACGGAGGAUUGUACAGAGGCUAUGCCUUGGAGAGGCUUUCAUUUCAUCCAGGGCAAGGCAACUUUCAUUUCUUCAGUUCAUUUUUCUCUCUUGCUGAGGACCAUAAGGAGGGCCCCAUAAUGCUAAGUAAGUACUGCACCCCUGACUGUGGCACCAGCCUUCUAAGGCUGCCUUCCACAGACCCUAAUACCUCAGUUCCAGCCUCUUUAUUUUUCUCUAACUUUGUGCCGAGGCUUCUCUUUGAUCAAUAAGAAUAUGGAGGGCGGGGGCCGAGGAGCUUUUGUAAAGCACACACUGUGAGAUGUGGACUGGCCAAGUCAUCCUGCAAGGGCUAAGUGUUAAAGCUUCUCAGUCAGCCCCAGGAAAGAAUGUCCAUGAAGACGAGCUAGUCUAUUUUUAAUGAUUGUAAAAUAAGAAAAAAAGAAUGAAGAAAGCAUUCUCAUGAAAAUCUGAGUUUCUUUUGUGCAUUGGGGCGUUUUCUCAAGAUCAUUACCUAGUGACUGAGUAGUUGGAGAUCAAUGGUUUCUGAAACUCAGGAUUAGAGAAAUAGAAAAUAUAUUUUACUUUGUUGAAAAUGUAAUGGAACUUAAAAUGUUUUUUAAAGAAGAAUCCAUAGGUCAUGCAACUUUGUUGGUGACAGCCAUAGAAAUAAGACUGGGGGACAGAAACAGCGAGAGGGAAAGAUGAGGGUGCAGGAGAGAUCUUUUUAUCGGAGAAAAACCUGGAGCAACGAGCCUUCUGGCAAUUGUGCUAGCUGCUGCAAAGUUGUCAAAGUCAAGAGCAGAACCAAAACCCUGUUCUGCCUUUCCUUGAUUCUCAAGUCUCCCUAGACUUCAAAAAAAUCAGUGGGCCUCUAAAAUCCUAAUAGAUAUUUGAUCUGAUGAGAGGUAUAGGAAGGCAAAGUUGGACAUAGGAAGAAUUAAAGAUGAUAAAAAUGAGAAGCUAAUCCCUACCUAUCUUGAAAAGGUUGGUUUUAGAGGGUUAUCAGGGUUCACUCUCAAAUAUUCACUACAGAGCUUGCCGUAAGCCACAUGUCCUUUGGGAUCCAGCCUAGAUGAAAUUUGCACAUUCCAGGAUAGGAGUGUGAGGAUUAGAAUUAUUAGGCAAAAGGAACACAGACAUAGAGAAAUAAAAGAGAGAAACACAGAACAGCACCAGGAGGUGCUGUAGAUGGGCCCUGUUAUAUGUUAUUUUCAUUGGUUAAUAAAGAGACUGCCUUGGCCCUCUGAUAGGACAGAAAAUUAGGUAGGUGGAGUAAACAGAACAGAAUGCUGG